rnacentral:tRNA from 1 species
GGCUCCGUAGCUCAACUGGAUAGAGCACCAGAUUUCGGCUCUGGGGGUUGAGGGUUCAAAUCCUUCCGGAGUCACUA